UGGGGAAUCUUGGACAAUGGGCGAAAGCCUGAUCCAGCCAUGCCGCGUGAAUGAUGAAGGCCCUAGGGUUGUAAAAUUCUUUCAGCAGGGAAGAUAAUGACGGUACCUGCAGAAGAAGCCCCGGCUAACUCCGUGCCAGCAGCCGCGGUAAUACGGAGGGGGCUAGCGUUGUUCGGAAUUACUGGGCGUAAAGCGCGCGUAGGCGGAUCGGUAAGUUAGAGGUGAAAGCCCGGAGCUCAACUCCGGAACUGCCUUUGAUACUGCCGGUCUAGAGUUCAGGAGAGGUGAGCGGAAUUCCGAGUGUAGAGGUGAAAUUCGUAGAUAUUCGGAGGAACACCAGAGGCGAAGGCGGCUCACUGGACUGAUACUGACGCUGAGGCGCGAAAGCGUGGGGAGCAAACAGGAUUAGAUACCCCCGUAGUCC
rnacentral:rRNA from 1 species